rnacentral:sRNA from 1 species
ACAGCACCUUCCUCCACCUGGACACCCAGGGCUGCUACCCAGGGCUCUGCCCAGAGGACAGCUGCACACCUCCCUUUGAGUUCCAUGCCUGCGGCUCCCCCUGUGCUGGGCUGUGUGCCACACACCUGAGCCAUCAGCUCUGCCAGGACCUGCCACCCUGCCAGCCGGGCUGCUACUGCCCCAAGGGGCUGCUGGAGCAGGCUGGGGGCUGCAUUCCCCCGGAGGAGUGUAACUGCUGGCAUACCUCAGCAGCGGGAGCCGGGAUGACCCUGGCCCCUGGGGACCGCCUGCAGCUGGGCUGUAAGGAGUGUGAAUGCCGGCGUGGGGAGCUGCACUGCACCAGCCAGGGCUGUCAAGGUCUUCUGCCUCUGAGUGAGUGGUCUGAGUGGUCGCCCUGUGGGCCCUGCCUGCCGCCCAGCGCCCUGGCCCCUGCCUCCAGGACUGCCCUAGAGGAGCGCUGGCUCCGAGACCCAACUGGCCUCUCCCCCACCUCGGCCCCACUGCUGGCUUCAGAGCAGCACCGCCACCGGCUCUGUCUGGAUCCUGUGACAAGGAGGCCCUGGACUGGAGCGCCUCACCUCUGCACCGCACCCCUCAGCCAGCAGCGCCUCUGCCCUGACCCUGGAGCCUGCCCUGACUCAUGCCAGUGGAGUCUGUGGGGGCCAUGGAGCCCCUGCCAGGUGCCCUGCAGUGGGGGGUUCAGGCUACGCUGGAGAGAGGCAGAGGCCCUCCGUGGAGGAGGCUGCCAGGGGCCAUGGGCUCAGACAGAAAGCUGCAACAGAGGGCCCUGCCCAGGUGAGAGCUGCGAGGCCCAAGACACUGUAUUCACCCUGGACUGUGCCAACCAGUGCCCACGCAGCUGUGCCGACCUCUGGGACCGCGUUCAGUGCCUGCAGGGACCCUGCCGCCCAGGCUGCCGCUGUCCCCCUGGCCAGCUGGUCCAGGAUGGGCGCUGUGUGCCGAUCUCCUCUUGCCGCUGUGGCCUCCCCAGUGCCAAUGCCUCUUGGGAGCUGGCCCCGGCCCAGGCAGUGCAGCUGGACUGCCAAAACUGCACCUGUGUCAACGGGUCCCUGGUGUGCCCACACCAGGAGUGUCCAGUCCUUGGGCCUUGGUCAGCCUGGAGCAGUUGCUCGGCCCCCUGUGGUGGGGGCCCUAUGGAGCGACAUCGGACCUGCGAGGGGGGUCCUGGGGUGGCACCAUGCCAGGCCCAGGACACAGAGCAACGGCAGGAGUGUAACCUGCAGCCCUGCCCUGAGUGCCCCCCUGGCCAGGUGCUUAGCACCUGUGCCACCUCAUGCCCGCGCCUCUGCUGGCAUCUGCAGCCUGGUGCCAUCUGUGUGCAGGAGCCCUGCCAGCCUGGCUGUGGCUGCUCUGGAGGGCAGAGUGCCCCCCUGGGGAAAUGUGGCAGCAGGUGGCCCCGGGGAGCUGGGGCUCUGCGAGCAGACGUGCCUGGAGAUGAAUGCCACAGAGACCCAGAGUAACUGCAGUUCAGCUCGAGCCUCGGG